GGAGGGUUGUGGCUCAGUAAGAGCAGAUCACCUGCCUUGCAUGCAGAAGGUCCUUGGUUCAAUCUCUGGUGUCUCCG